rnacentral:rRNA from 1 species
GACGAACGCUGGCGGCGUGCUUAACACAUGCAAGUCGAACGGAAAGGCCCUGCUUCUGUGGGGUGCUCGAGUGGCGAACGGGUGAGUAACACGUGAGUAACCUGCCCUUGACUUUGGGAUAACUUCAGGAAACUGGGGCUAAUACCGGAUAGGAGCUCCUGCUGCAUGGUGGGGGUUGGAAAGUUUCGGCGGUUGGGGAUGGACUCGCGGCUUAUCAGCUUGUUGGUGGGGUAGUGGCUUACCAAGGCUUUGACGGGUAGCCGGCCUGAGAGGGUGGCCGGCCACAUUGGGACUGAGAUACGGCCCAGACUCCUACGGGAGGCAGCAGUGGGGAAUAUUGCACAAUGGGCGGAAGCCUGAUGCAGCAACGCCGCGUGCGGGAUGACGGCCUUCGGGUUGUAAACCGCUUUCGCCUAUGACGAAGCGUGAGUGACGGUAAUGGGUAAAGAAGCACCGGCUAACUACGUG